AGUGCUCGCUAAGCUGAUCUGGGACCUGCAGUCCCUUCCUGUCGGUUCUGGACUCAGAGAACCUGAGCUACAUCGCUCAGGCUCAGAAGAAAUCCAUCUCAGGAGCUUCUGUCCAAGCUGCAGACACAAGAUACUCCUGCAGUGGAAGAUGCUGAGUACAUGCUGAUGAGCUGCCUGUCAUCGUCUCCUAGCAACGAGCUGACGGACAUACCUACAGGUGUUCGAACCUCUGAGCUGAUCUCUAAACACGACUCAUCAGUCUGGCUGAGGAACGGAGGUGAGUCUACACACACUGA